rnacentral:rRNA from 1 species
AAGCCCUUCGGGGUGAGUACAGCGGCGGACGGGUGAGUAACGCGUAGGAAUCUACCCAGUAGUGGGGGACAACUAGUGGAAACGCUAGCUAAUACCGCAUACGCCCUAMGGGGGAAAGCGGGGGAYCUUCGGRCCUCGUGCUAUUGGAUGAGCCUGCGUAAGAUUAGCUUGUUGGUGAGGUAAUGGCUCACCAAGGCGACGAUCUUUAGCUGGUCUGAGAGGAUGAUCAGCCACACCGGGACUGAGACACGGCCCGGACUCCUACGGGAGGCAGCAGUCGGGAAUAUUGCGCAAUGGGSGAAASCCUGACGCAGCCAUGCCGCGUGUGUGAAGAAGGCCCUAGGGUUGUAAAGCACUUUCAAUUGGGAGGAAAAGCUAAURSUUAAUAMSYAUUAGCCCUGACGUUACCUUUAGAAGAAGCACCGGCUAACUCCGUGCCAGCAGCCGCGGUAAUACGGAGGGUGCAAGCGUUAAUCGGAAUUACUGGGCGUAAAGCGCGCGUAGGCGGUUUUUUAAGUCGGAUGUGAAAGCCCCGGGCUCAACCUGGGAAYUGCAUCCGAUACUGRAUSACUAGAAUGCGGGAGAGGGAGGUAGAAUUCCAUGUGUAGCAGUGAAAUGCGUAGAUAUAUGGAGGAAUACCAGUGGCGAAGGCGGCCUCCUGGCUCGACAUUGACGCUGAGGUGCGAAAGCGUGGGGAGCAAACGGGAUUAGAURCCCCGGUAGUCCACGCCGUAAACGAUGUCUACUAGCUGUAGGGGUACUUGAGACCUUYGUAGCGCAGCUAACGCAAUAAGUAGACCGCCNGGGGAGUACNGCCGCAAGGYUAAAACUCAAAUGAA